UCGAGCGGACAGAUGGGAGCUUGCUCCCUACCCGUUCCCAUGCCGAACACGGAAGUUAAGCUCUUCAGCGCCGAUGGUAGUUGGGGGAUUCCCCCUGUGAGAGUAGGACGCCGCCAAGC
rnacentral:rRNA from 1 species